rnacentral:lncRNA from 1 species
CUCUGUCUGGUUUUGGAAUGAGGGUGAUGGUGGCCUCAUAGAAUGUCUUUGGGAGUAUUCCUUCUUCUUCAACCUUUUGAAAGAGUUUAAGGAGGAUGGGCACCAGAUCCUCUUUAUAUGUUUGGUAGAAUUCACCUGUGAAGCCAUCUGGUCCUGGACUUUUAUUUGUAGGGAGUGAUUUUAUGACCUCUAGAUUUGGCCGCUUGUUCUAGGAUAAGUGUUCAAAGAGCUGUAAUUUCCAGGCACCACUGAGCUGCAGGGACAAGAGAUCCAGGUUCUCAAUCAUCACUGCCAGUCCGAGGACUUGACAGAACCAAUGAACACCCAUCACUCAAAGAGUUUCUGGUUAACUAGUGUUCCAGGACAGAUGCUAAGCCCCAGCAACACUGUAACUAGCACCCACUCCCAUAUUCAACAAGCCUUUACUGAGCACUGUGUGCAAGCUAUCCUAAGAAAGCAGUCCACCUCCAGGGCCAGGCACCCCAACCCCGUGCUCUAGAGUCAUUUUAGAGAUGCUUCGUGUGACUGUGCUCAUGUCACCUAGCGCAGGUUAAGCUGCACACUCAAGUGGCCUGUUUUUGAGUUUCCCAACUGAGCGGAACAUGUCCAGUGAAACCGGUCAUAUAAUCUAGUGCAGGUGUAUCUGCUCCAGCUAUCAGAUUAGGUUUGCAUGUGCCCGUAUGGUUGAGGCAUGUCCCCCGCAGAUGUCCCUGCCAACAGUUCCUCCCCUCUCCCUUUCCUCCAAGUUCUGAGUUCUUCUGACAAAGUCACACUAGUCAGUCCUCUGAGCUCCAGCAUCAGCUCACAGCUCUGUGCUGCUGGCAAGGGGCCCUGGCCGGGGUUUGCCGAAGCAGUGUUAGCGGCUUCAAUCCUGAGAGGAGCCCGCAGCAAUACUGACCUUGCAAACUGCCCCUUUAGGGCAGGAAGGUCACCCUUUCACCUUGUUCCUGGAGGUGGCUUCUGGAGGCCAUUUUCUGAAAGUUCAAACUCACCCACCUGUGCAGGUAACGCCUCCCCUCCAUGGAGCCAGCCCCGAGCAGGUGUGGAUUCCUAUCUGGGGUGGUUAUGGGACAAGCAGGAGACAGGGCCUGGCUCCUUUGAUCUCAGACAUG